rnacentral:rRNA from 1 species
UCCGUAGGUGAACCUGCGGAAGGAUCAUUACAAGUGAGGCUACCGAACGUUGGAAACAGCGGUUAGGAGCUUACACCCACCCGUGUUUACAUACUAUUGUUGCUUUGGCGGGCCGUGGCCUCCACUGCGGGCUCUGCUCGUGUGUGCCCGCCAGAGGACCAAACUCUGAAUGUUAGUGAUGUCUGAGUACUAUCUAAUAGUUAAAACUUUCAACAACGGAUCUCUUGGUCCUGGCAUCGAUGAAGAACGCAGCGAAAUGCGAUAAGUAAUGUGAAUUGCAGAAUUCAGUGAAUCAUCGAAUCUUUGAACGCACAUUGCGCCCUGUGGUAUUCCGCAGGGCAUGCCUGUUCGAGCGUCAUUUAACCACUCACGCCUAGCGUGGUAUUGGGGCACGCGGUCUCGCGGCCCUCAAAAUUAGUGGCGGCGCCGGUGGGCUCUAAGCGUAGUACAUACUCCCGCUAUAGAGUUCCCCCGGUGGCUCGCCAGAACCCCCAAUUUCUUACAGGUUGACCUCGGAUCAGGUAGGGAUACCCGCUGAACUUAAGCAUAUCAAUAAGCGGAGGA